GUGUUCAAUUUGGCAGCAGGUAUCCUGCUAUUGGAAGGGUGCAGAGGAGAUUAGCAUGGCCCCUGCACAUGGAUGACAUGCAAAUUUAUAAAGCACACCACAAUGAG
rnacentral:snRNA from 1 species